rnacentral:pre_miRNA from 1 species
UGGUCGACCAGUUGGAAAGUAAUUGUUUCGAAUGUACUUCACCUGGUCCACUAGC